rnacentral:rRNA from 1 species
GGAGCGAGUACGGCGGCAAACGGGUGAGUACCACGUGGGUAACUUGCCUUCGGGUGGGGGACAACCUCGGGAAACCGAGGCUAAUACCGCAUAACGUUAUGCUUUCGCAUGUUAGCAUAACCAAAGGGGGGGAUCUUCGGACCUCCCGCCUGAAGAGAGGCCCGCGCCUGAUUAGCUAGUUGGUAGGGUAAUGGCCUACCAAGGCGAUGAUCAGUAGCCGGUCUGAGAGGAUGGCUGGCCACACUGGGAUUGAGAUACGGCCCAGACUCCUACGGGAGGCAGCAGUCUAGAAGCUUCGGCAAUGGGCGAAAGCCUGACCGAGCGACGCCGCGUGCAGGACGACGGUCUUCGGAUUGUAAACUGCUUUCGACAGGGAUGAACGGUAGGGAAGUUAAUAACUUCUUUAUUUGACAGUACCUGGAGAAGAAGCCCCGGCUAACUCCGUGCCAGCAGCCGCGGUAAUACGGAGGGGGCAAGCGUUGUUCGGAUUUAUUGGGCGUAAAGCGCGUGUAGGCGGUAGAGUAAGUCGAAUGUUAAAGACCCACGGCUCACCCGGGGGAAUGCGUCCGAUACUGCUUUACUUGAGUGCGGGAGAGGAAAGUGGAAUCCCUGGUGUAGCGGUGAAAUGCGUAGAUCUCAGGAGGAACACCGGUGGCGAAGGCGGCUUUCUGGCCCGCAACUGACGCUGAGACGCGAAAGCGUGGGGAGCGAACGGGAUUAGAUACCCCGGUAGUCCACGCCGUAAACGUUGGAUACUAGGUGUGGGAGGUUUUCUACCCCUUCUGUGCCGUAGCUUACGCAUUAAGUAUCCCGCCUGGGGAGUACG